CGUAGGGUCCGAGCGUUGUCCGGAAUUAUUGGGCGUAAAGGGCUCGUAGGCGGUUUGUCACGUCGGGCGUGAAAACUCAGGGCUCAACCCUGAGCGUGCGUCCGAUACGGGCAGACUAGAGGUAUGCAGGGGAGAACGGAAUUCCUGGUGUAGCGGUGGAAUGCGCAGAUAUCAGGAGGAACACCGGUGGCGAAGGCGGUUCUCUGGGCAUUACCUGACGCUGAGGAGCGAAAGCAUGGGGAGCGAACAGGAUUAGAUACCCUGGUAGUCCAUGCCGUAAACGUUGGGCGCCAGGUGUGGGGACCUUCCACGGUCUCCGUGCCGCAGCUAACGCAUUAAGCGCCCCGCCUGGGGAGUACGGCCGCAAGGCUA
rnacentral:rRNA from 1 species